ACGAGCGCAACCCCUAUCCUUAGUUGCCACCAGGUAAUGCUGAGCACUCUAGGGAGACUGCCCGGGUUAACCGGGAGGAAGGUGGGGACGACGUCAAGUCAUCAUGGCCCUUACGCCUGGGGCUACACACGUACUACAAUGGUGCAUACAAAGGGUUGCGAAGCCGUGAGGUGGAGCUAAUCCCAUAAAGUGCAUCCCAGUCCGGAUAGGAGUCUGCAACUCGACUCCUUGAAGUCGGAAUCGCUAGUAAUCCCGGAUCAGCAUGCCGGGGUGAAUGCGUUCCCGGGCCUUGCACACACCGCCCGU
rnacentral:rRNA from 1 species